rnacentral:rRNA from 1 species
GUCGGUGUCGAUGGCGGUGAGGGUCCACCUGUUCCCAUUCCGAACACAGUAGUUAAGCUCACUUGCGUCAACAAUACUUAGCUGGUAACGGCUCGGGAAGAUAGAUAGACGCCGACA